rnacentral:rRNA from 1 species
AGUAAAGAUACUAAUGCAUAUGGUGGAUGCCUUGGGUAUUCGCGCCGAUGAAGGAGGUGCUAAGCUGCCAUAAGCCUCGAGGAGUUGCUACGAAACGUUAUUACUCGGGGACUUCCGAAUGGGGAAACCCAACCCGCUUAUAAGGCGAGGUUACUAAUUACUGAAAACUGCGCAAGCGGCCAUAGGUAAUUUAGAGGGAACUCGGCGAACUGAAACAACUUAGUAGCCGGAGGAAAAGAAACCAAAUCAGGUAUUCUCCUAGUAGCGGCGAGCGAACGGGGAACAGCCCAAACCCAUAUUAAUAUUGGGGGUAUAGACAAUCCUAAUGUUUGAUCAUAGAAGAGUUAACUAAAUUUUUUUCGUAGAAGAAGCCUUCUGGAAAGAAGCGCCAUAGAGGGUAACAGCCCCGUAUUUGAAACGAAAAAAACUCUUGGGUUGAUCUUGAGUAGCACGGGACACGUGUAACCCUGUGUGAACAAACGACGUCCACGUCGUAAGGCUAAAUACGCGAAUACACCGAUAGCGCAUAGUACCGUGAGGGAAAGGUGAAAAGAACCCCUGUUAGGGGAGUGAAAUAGAUACUGAAACCGUAUGCAGACAAGCUGGCAAAGCCCGUAAGGGUAAUGCCGUGCCUAUUGAAGAAUGAGCCAACGAGUUAAUAGAUUGGGCAAGCUUAAGCCGUAACAGCGGCGGAGGCGUAGGGAAACCGAGUCUUAAUAGGGCGACCAGUCCAUUUUAUUAGACCCGAAGCCAGGUGAGCUAACCAUGGCCAGGAUGAAACCCUGCGAAAUCAGGGUGAAGGUCCGAACCGUUGUAUGAGGAAAAAUGCUCGGAUGAGCUGUGGUUAGGGGUGAAACGCUAAUCGAACUUGGCAAUAGCUGGUUCUCCCCGAAAUAUAUUUAGGUAUAGCCCUUGAUUACAAGGUCUACGUCGGUUUACCGACUAAGCCCUUGUUAUAUAACUUUGCGAGGUAGAGAUACUGAAAGGGGAUGGGGCGCGCAAGUGUACCCACCCCUACCAAACUCCGAAUGCGCAAAGUGUUCCAAGGAGUCAGUGCUGCGGGGAAAUCUCGUGGCACGAAAGGGAAACAACCCGGACCAUCAGCUAAGGUCCCUAAAUUAUGCUUAGUGGGCAAGGAAGUGAGAUCGUUAAGACAGCUAGGAGGUUGGCUUAGAAGCAGCCACCCUUUAAAGAUAGCGUAACAGCUCACUAGUUGAACGAUUUUGCGCCGACGAUUUAACGGGGCUCAAGCAUAAUACCGAAGCUAUGGAUUUGCUGUUUAUUCAGCAAGUGGUAGGGGAGCUUUGAUGCAGCAGUGAAGGUGUACCCGUGAGGGGCGCUGGAGCGGCAUCAAGUGAGAAUGUUGGCAUGAGUAACGUAAGGGUGGUGAAAACCCACCCCGCCGAAAAUCUAAGGGUUCCUCCGCAAUGCCAGUCAUCGGAGGGUUAGUCGACCCUAAGGGGAGGCCGAAAGGCGUACCCGAUGGAUAGCAGGUUAAUAUUCCUGCACUUUUGUAAGAUCGUUAUUACCGAUGGGAGGACGGAGCAUGAUGGACCAAGCUCAUUAAGGAUUUGAGUCCCAAAAGCAAGGCAGUCUGUGUAGGCAAAUCCGCACGGGCGCUACGUCGAGCUUAGGGAAAGUCUGCCGCAAGGCGGAUAAUUUGGUGUCACGCAAGCUUCCAGGAAAAUUCUCUAGGGAGAUCUUACAAUAUUCGUACCGUAAACCGACACAGGUAGAUGAGUAGAGGAUACUAAGGCGAACGAGCGAAUCGUGGUUGAGGAACUAGGCAAAUUACAUCCGUAACUUAGGGAAAAGGAUGCCCUGCCACGAACCUGCGUAAGCAGGGAGUCGGUAGGGGGCACAAAAAUGGCUCAAGCGACUGUUUAACAAAAACAUAGGUCUCUGCUAAACCAGUAAUGGGAUGUAUAGGGGCCGAUGCCUGCCCAGUGCCCGUAGGUCAAGAUCGGGGGUGAUUUCCAACUUCGGUUGGAAUGAGCUUUUGGUUUAAGCCCGGGUGAACGGCAGCAGUAACUAUAACUGUUCUAUGGUGAAUUUACGCGCCGCCAUAGUGGGUAGCUCGAUCUACCCCGUUUGGAUAUGCCCAAACGCAACCUGACUAUAUGCUGGAAACUCCGUCCAUGCUUUAUGCAAUAAAGACAUGGUGGCUCUAAUUAAAAUAGAGGAAAGUAUCUUGGACUACUCAACAUAUUCGGAUAGUAUCCG